UACGCAGGGGGCUAGCGUUGCUCGGAUUUACUGGGCGUAAAGGGCGCGUAGGCGGACAGUUUAGUCAGAGGUGAAAGCCCAGGGCUCAACCUUGGAAUUGCCUUUGAUACUGGCUGUCUUGAGUACGGGAGAGGUGAGUGGAACUCCGAGUGUAGAGGUGAAAUUCGUAGAUAUUCGGAAGAACACCAGUGGCGAAGGCGACUCACUGGCCCGUUACUGACGCUGAGGCGCGAAAGCGUGGGGAGCAAACAGG
rnacentral:rRNA from 1 species